rnacentral:rRNA from 1 species
UGCGUAGGCGGCGCGGUAAGUCGGGUGUGAAAUCUCGGAGCUUAACUCCGAAACUGCAUUCGAUACUGCCGUGCUUGAGGACUGGAGAGGAGACUGGAAUUUACGGUGUAGCGGUGAAAUGCGUAGAUAUCGUAAGGAAGACCAGUGGCGAAGGCGGGUCGUCUGGACAGUUCCUGACGCUGAGGCACGAAGGCCAGGGGGAGCAAACG